rnacentral:lncRNA from 1 species
UCUCUUCAGCUUCAUCUUGUUCUACAGAGCUCUGAAGCCUUGGUGUUGGAUCCAGACAAUUCCUCUCCCAGGUUUUCUGUGACCUGCAAGGGUAGGAAGAACCCACACAAUGCUUAUUUCAUAGCCAGGUAUCCACAUUCUAGUGCACUACUGGGAUCUCUCCUAUGUCCUGGCUUCCCAAAUCCCGCUGGUGGAUGAGCUGCACUGGGGCUGAAACCCUGCCUGGCCAUGAAGUGCAUUUUAAAGCCCUGCUGUAAAUGCCUCAGGCUCACCAGCCAGCCAUUAGGAGAACACUCCUUUGUCUUCCAAGACCCGAGAUGUCUGCAGGGAGAAUCUGACACUAAUCCUUAUGGAAAAACCAUUGGAUUUAUAGGGAUGAAGUCAAUAGGCUUGGAUGAAAACGGCUGUAAAACUCUAAGGAAUGGACAGGAGAAGCAAAGCCAUGUUACACAAGAAGCUUAAGUGCAUAAGACGCUGCAGCAUAAGUGCCUGUGUCCUCAUCCCAAGGCUUUUGACAGAAAUUACGGCUGAACUGCUCCUAGGAUGAAGGAUGGGAGACAAGCUCAUGGCUAAGAACCUGAGGAAACACAACGUGGAGAAGGCAGGGGUUGUGCAGGCCGGGUGAGUGCACUGGCUGACACCCAAAUGCCAGAUGAAGGACAUGUGCAUCCACUCCUGCUAUUUAAAUAAAACCAUAAAAUGUGAAUGCUGUCCAAUGAAGAUUCCUGAGGUGGCAGCUAAAUCCUCAGCAGCAAAAGCAGUAUUAGAUGCAGGAUAUGUGUUUUGGCAAGUGUGCUCAGAUGAGCUAACCCCUAAGCUAGUGGCUUUUACUGUGCUAGUUGGAUGUUGUAAAUUUAAGCAGAUGAUGCUUGGUAUUAGUUUUGCUCCUGGGAUAUUUCAGAGAGUAAUUGCACAUAUCUCUGAGGGAUUACAAGGUGCUGAAGUUAUAAUGGAUGGACUUUGAAUUUAAACUAGAUGCCUUUAGGAACAGAAGGAAAGGUUUAGGCUGGUUUUACAGACAGCAAGAAUGCUGAAUAUAAAAUGCCAAAAGCCUCACCUAAAAUAAUUUGCUGAUUAUGGGCAGCUACAAAUUAAAUAAUAAUAAAACUCCACAUGGCUGGAAUCCCUAUUCCACUCAACAAAGCAGAGCUGUAAGGAAACAAUAGAUGCCUUCAUCAAAUUUCAUUCUACAGCUAUUUACAGUUAACAAACAAUGGAAAGAUUUGCCAGAGAAAGGCCCUUACCUGAUCCUGGAGCAGUAAAAACGUCCCCCUGCUGCCAAACCAUCAGUUCAAAUACCGUGUGCAAGACCUUAGGCUGGGUCUUUGCUGUCCAUCAGCAGAUGGACACGUCACAUCCUGAACCUGCAGGAGUGUCUUCGGAAGUUCUAGGCAAUGGCAAGCAGCUGGAGGUUACAUUGUCCUCAAAAAUGUCAGGAAUCUCUUGCAAUGUGAAGGAAUCACCAGAAGCAUGCCUGGAGUGAUGGCCACCUAUAGGAACUGUCUCCUCUGGCACCGGACACUGAACUAUCACUUAAUUCAUCUCUGUGGGGAGACUGGAAUGGAAGAGUGUCACAGCAGAUACAUCUCUGUCCCCUGAGCUGACCCUGUGGCUUCACACCCUGUGAGACACACGUGAGGCCCUGAGACACCCUGUGUCUCCUCCAGAGACCGUUCCAGGAUGACUGAAUCCACCUGGGAUGCUUUAGAUGCAGCUCUGCAACCAACCUCCUGUGUCCUGUGUGGCAGGUUCAGUGCCCCAGGGGACACCUUGGCUUCAGCAGUUCAGCCCCCAGGGUGGCUGCAUGGGGCCUCUGGAUGCUUGGCAUGGUGGCAGGAUGGUGACUUCCAAGGCUGGCACUGCCAGCUGCCCUCAGCAGUGUCUGCCCAGCCAUGGGAUGUGGAUCCAGUGCUGGUUUCCAUCCCAUUACUUGCAGGAGCAAUUCCCACUGCAGAUACAGCCCCUGCAAAUACUCCACAGCCUGGCAGGAACGUGGCUUGGCCACCACACUGCCCAUGCCCAGCUCUGUUCCUAAAUCCCCUGAUGUGGUGACACUGCAGAGGAGCAAGGACCUGCCCCAGGACCAUGCAUCUUCUGCCAAAGCACCGAGUCUCCUUCUCCUGGCAACAAGCCCAGCCACAGCAGGGAAAUUAAUGCAGGAAUGGCUUGUUCUCAAGUAGGAUAAAGGGUCCUGGAAUUGCUUUUUUGGGGUGUAAGGAGGGAGUUUUAUGGGCUCUAUUUUCUGCUUCUAAUAAUGAUAUUUGAUCUAAACAGUUCCACGCCUUGGAGUCCACAACAGAUGGGGAGUUCACAUCUACAAGGAUGAAAAUGCUCAUCCUGCCAAGCCUUUGAUUCUCAGCGUAUCCUUCCUACCCUACAAACAGGCGGACAGCACAUUUCUAGCAUAAAAAUAUCCUCCUCUCCAGCUAACCACCUCCAGAUUCCCUUCCUGAGCCUGUUCUGAGCCUGGUGCUUAGACAUUUCUAUAUACAUAAACAUUCAGAUCAUCUCCACAAGGUUCUUCCUGUCUCACAAGCAAAUCCUGAGACCAGCAGCUAUUUGCAGCUCCUUGAAAGACAAAUAGGUUCUUUCCAAGUUGACUGCUGUGGCUGGGGCUCUCCAUGCACCUCUCCCCAGGGUUUCUGGCUGUACCUCCCAUCCCAGGACACUGAAAUGUCCAUCACCUCCUUCCUGGGAGACCAAACUGCUCCAAACACCCCGUGUAUGGCUGCCAGUGAUGGUCAAGGGACUGGGAAAGGGUCAAGCCUAGGGAUUGCGUAGACUGGGAAACAUUUUGGACUGGGAUGCAGCAUGGGAGUGCCUGGGCAUAGGCACACUUGCAGAGGGAGGUUGCAGACCCAUGCCAAAACCCACACAAAGCAGUGGAGGAAUGAACAACAGACGCACACACCCGUGCAAACUGCUUUCUCUUUGAUGGAGGAUUGUAGAAACAUUACCUUCCCCUGGGGCUUUGCAGUGAAAUAACCUGAUUAUUCAUGAACCAGCCAGAAUCAUCAAUCCCUCAUUUAUCAUUUUCAACAUAAAUAAUAAAGGCAAGAGAGGAACACACCAGCAAUAAACCAGUUAUAGAUGUAGUGUUGAAAUCUGCCCAUAUCCUUUAAAUGUGCCCCACUUACUGAUAACAAACAGGGAUCCAGCCGACUCCUCACCUGAUUCCUGAGCGUUGGAUUUCAAAGGACACAAGCCAGUGCUCAGCUUUAUGUGAGUGAAAGUCCAUUUGGCGCUCGCGUGGGCGGCCAGCUAGGAAAUGGCAGCAAGUUUUAAAAAACCCACAUUUGUCUUGCUGACAAAUGCCUCCAGGAAAUAAAAGCCUUUGUGUUCUUCUUUGACCUCUUCCACUCACAGAUGGGUUUUGCUGUGCUUCCGACAGUGAUUUUUUUUAACGCCUGCGCUUCCAGGAUAUUUAUUUUAUCUGCUGACGAGCACGGCUCGGAGAGGCCACGAUGCACAUCAUAUUAUGGGUCUGCUGUGGCCAAGUAGGAUGGCCUUGGACAGGCAGAGUUGGGGUUUUCACUUCAAGUCCAGCUGCAAAUGAGGCAUUUUGGGAUGGCAGCGUCUCUUGGAGCAUCCUUGGCUGGUUGAGCACCAGCUUCACCCUGAGAUACACAUUGACCCAGAGGAGAGAGCACCCAGAGCCACGCAGGUCCCUCAGUGUCUGGGAGAGGAGCUGAACAUCCUUCCAGCUCUAGUCUGAGCCUGUUUUCUGAGCAGACCGAAGGUGGAGUGGAGCAGGGAAUGGAGGAGCAGCCUUUGAGGCUUAGGGUGCUUUGCUAAGCAGAGCUCUGCCCUGAACUCUGCAGGCUCUCCUUUCUGAGUCCCCUGGGACUUGUUCUGGCAGCGCCAGCCCUGUGUGUGAGCCCAGCCAUGGCUGAGGCACUCUGGUAAUGAGCCACAUGUUCCCAAGGCCCCCAGGCUUGGCAGGACCUUCUGGAGCCCAGCUCUGCCAACAGGCAGCCCCACUCAGCACUUCUGGUGAAGGUUUCCCUUGCCCUCCCCCUGCCACUCGCUUCACUCCUCCAAGGGUCUCUCCCCUAUGUGCACUCUGAAAGAAAUGGGGAGGGAAAUCAGAGUGUUUAAACACUGCCUAACGGUGAAAAAUAACAUCUGGAGAACAGCCUUGCCCUUCACAGAGUCCUCCACCUCCACAUCUCCCAGCAGAAAACAGAUCCAGAAGGAACCCAUCAGCUCAGCACUGGGACCAACUCUCCCUGCGGGUGCCAUUGGCUUGGGGACAGCAGCCACUGCCCAGGGGACACAGGGACCCAGGAGCCCUGGAGAAAUGGGUGGCUGGCCAAAGCCACACUCACUGCUGGGAGAUUUUAGAGAGUAAGGGAAGCUCAGCCAGGGGUGACUCCUUGCCCUCCCAUGCUGGCCCAUCUUCCCCAUUCCCCCAGGAAACAAACCUGCUUCAUUCGAGCCUGUUUCCACAGAGGUUCUUCCAGCCAACAUUAACACACUCUGCUUUACUUCCCAGCAUGGCCUGGGGCAGAAAGCAACAUCUGAACCUAAUAAAAAGGCUGGCCUCCCCCUCAAAGAGACCCAAAAGCAACCUGUACUAUUUGGUUUCCAGCCUCUGCUGUUUGGUUUUUCCUCACCAGUGAAUGGAGGAGGCAGCUCCAGCUCAGGGGCUCUGGCUGGCCUGAAGGGAAGCAGGAUGUUCUGUCGGCCCAUGGAGACCAGUAGCUUAAAAAUGAGUCCAGUGGGGUGGAGCCAGAUGGGUUUCAAUGCUAAGGAGCCAGUUGUGACUUCUCACUGGGGAAUAAGGACUCGUUCUUCCCUUGAACAGAAAGGUGCUCCUUUUCAGUUCCAAAAACGGGAAAGCUGGAGAUGGCUCUAAGCCAGGCCCAGGAUUAACAUCCUCAUGGGGGAAAGCUCUGCUUUGGUCCCACUGGAAUGCAGAUCCAGACCUGGCACCCAUCUUCAGGCACACGCUGAGCAGGUUCCUUGUGUCUGACCUCUGCCAGCGGCUUCACUUUCUGGAAAGGGCUCGGAAUGAAACAGCAACAGAAAAUACUCCUGGGCCUUGGGCAGAGCUGGAUCAGGAUUUCGCAGCUGACGUCUGGACUUUAGCAAACAAACACCUGAGUCAGUGGAGUCCAAACCUCUUCAGAAUCUGUGUCUCACUGGGGCUGAUUUGGGGCCCAUCAGGCCACAGCUGCUGACAGCUGCGCAGAGCAGGUGGAGGGACGUGUUGAAUUAGGAUGGAGUGACUUCAAUGGCAACCUCCUGGAUGGUGCUGCUUGGUUGUUUGCUCUUCAUGAAACCUUCCCUUCCUCCUGUGCCAUUGGAGGCAGGAGGGGAACCCCCAGAAGCUCCCGGCACUGUGCCUGUCCCACGGGCAUAAUGUUUUCCACAAAUACUGACCUGCAGCUUUAUGGAACAACUGCCCACAGGUGAGACCUCAGAACAACCUCCCCAGGGCUCCUGCUGGCUCCAUGAGUUUCCUCAGCAUCUGCUCAGGAGCACUGGGGCUGCCAUGGCAAUUAAUAAUGACUAAUCUAGAUGCACCAUCGUUUAUAUGGCCAGUGUGGUCAGCAUCUCCUCUGCCCUGACUUACCUCAGGAAAUACUGCAACAGUUUUCUCCAAGCUGAACAUGCAUUUAGUCAUCAAAGAGAUUGCAAAUGACUAAUAAAUAUGAAAAGAAGUUGGGGAGCAGCAAAAAUUUCUGGACCAAGAUCAGUCUUUACUGACAACUGCUGCUUUUCCUAAGCAAAAGUACCCUGCAGAGUUUAAAACAGCAUCUGACUUCAAAGCAGAACAGCUCUCCAGAUGGAGCUUACCACCCCUGCAACACCCUGUGCUUCGUCAGGUUCCCUGCACUUACAGAGGGACAGUGGGGUUAUUUCCAGAGAAGGGAAGCACAGGAGCCUCAGACUCGGAGCAAUGUGUGACUGAUACACUCCCCACGGUGCUGGGGGUGAGGCUGAGCUCUGGGCUCUCCUCCUGA